rnacentral:rRNA from 1 species
GUAGGUGGCAAGCGUUGUCCGGGAAUUAUUGGGCGUAAAGCGCGCGCAGGCGGUUCGUUUAAGUCUGAUGUGAAAGCCCACGGGCUCAACCGUGGAGGGUCAUUGGAAACUGGAGAACUUGAGUACAGAAGAGGAAAGCGGAAUUCCACGUGUAGCGGUGAAAUGCGUAGAGAUGUGGAGGAACACCAGUGGCGAAGGCGGCUUUCUGGUCUGUAACUGACGCUGAGGCGCGAAAGCGUGGGGAGCAAACAGGAUUAGAUACCCUGGUAGUCCACGCCGUAAACGAUGAGUGCUAAGUGUUAGGGGGUUUCCGCCCCUUAGUGCUGCAGCUAACGCAUUAAGCACUCCGCCUGGGGAGUACGGCCGCAAGGCUG